GGGUGUGUGCAUGUGAGUCAUGGGUGUACAUAGGCUCGAAGAUUGCAUCGCAUCAGAUUAGCCAUUUGAAAGUUUUCUUGAGCAUUGGGCUUGAUCCUUUUGUAUAAUAUUUAUACAAUGUAAAUUAGGUCAAGGAGAUAUGGUGAAUAAAAUUUUGGCUCUUUCUCCCAAUCUUUUGUCUCUCUUCUUUUCUUCUUCCCCUCUUGUACGCCCUA
rnacentral:lncRNA from 1 species